GACGAACGCUGGCGGCGUGCUUAACACAUGCAAGUCGAACGGAAAGGCCCCUUUGGGGGUACUCGAGUGGCGAACGGGUGAGUAACACGUGAGUAACCUGCCCUUGACUUCGGGAUAACUUCAGGAAACUGGGGCUAAUACCGGAUAGGAAUCCUUGCUGCAUGGUGGGGGUUGGAAAGCUUCGGCGGUUUUGGAUGGACUCGCGGCUUAUCAGCUUGUUGGUGGGGUAGUGGCUUACCAAGGCUUUGACGGGUAGCCGGCCUGAGAGGGCGACCGGCCACAAUGGGACUGAGAGACGGCCCAGACUCCUACGGGAGGCAGCAGUGGGGAAUAUUGCACAAUGGGCGGGAGCCUGAUGCAGCAACGCCGCGUGCGGGAUGACGGCCUUCGGGUUGUAAACCGCGUUCAGCAGGGGCGAAGCUUGUGGUGACGGUACCUGCAGAAGAAGCACCGGCUAACUACGUG
rnacentral:rRNA from 1 species